AAAUCUUUAGUUAAUUUAAUAACAAUAAAAUGUCAUUUUAUAAUUACUCUCAGUAAGAUU
rnacentral:tRNA from 1 species